AGGCGGUCAGGUGGCUGGGCACUUUCGGUUUCACCUUUUCGGCUUGCUGUGCAGACUGCUGCCGCUCUGGCUGGCUAGGUCGCUCUAUGACUGUGGAUAAAGUUGUAACAUUAGGUUCUGACUGGGCAACAAUCUGACAAAUGACACUGAGCUGGAAUGAUUUUGAAGGAGAAUCUGCCUGCAUCGCUUCCUGUAUUCUGUUUUAAAAUUCAGUUCUUGUGAAGACAAAGGUUCUGCUUACACAAAUGGACUUGAGAGAAACAUUGUUCCCAGCUUAAUUACCCGACAAGAUGGAGUCAGUCUCUAGGUAGAAACUGUUCAAAUGUGGCAGACAGGCUUGCAGUCAGCUUGCUUUAGAAGGCUUUGCCAAACUGUCCCGAAGAUGGCGCCACGUGCUCAGCUUUAGAAAAGCCUGCCUGUGCCUUUCAGGCUGGUGUGUGAAAUCACCAAGCUCCAAACACGGACACAGAUCUGUAGGGACUGUUGCCUGGAAAUACCAUUCCUCUGUUAAAGCGUGAAGAUUAAAAACAGAGACCCACCGUGAAUCUCAGACUAGCCUGGCCCAAACUGCCUUUAACUCCAAAGAGGUGAGACUACAGGUGUGAACAAAUGUGCCUGAAUGCAGUAUCUUCACAAGGACCUUGUAUCACCUUAACAUUUCUGACUUUCUUCCUGCACACUCCCCACCUCUCUCCACUGUAACCUCCUUGCUGAUUUCCUCUAAUUGCCUCCGUUAGCUGUAUCUCUUCUCCUUGAAAUUAUCAGGCACAAUCCUGCCCAAAGGCCUUUGUCUUGCCACUUCCUCUCAGAAAGCACGUCCUCCAGACUUCUGU
rnacentral:lncRNA from 1 species